rnacentral:rRNA from 1 species
AGUGAACGCUGGCGGUAGGCCUAACACAUGCAAGUCGAACGGCAGCACAGGAGAGCUUGCUCUCUGGGUGGCGAGUGGCGGACGGGUGAGGAAUACAUCGGAAUCUACUCUGUCGUGGGGGAUAACGUAGGGAAACUUACGCUAAUACCGCAUACGACCUACGGGUGAAAGCAGGGGACCUUCUGGCCUUGCGCGAUUGAAUGAGCCGAUGUCGGAUUAGCUAGUUGGCGGGGUAAAGGCCCACCAAGGCGACGAUCCGUAGCUGGUCUGAGAGGAUGAUCAGCCACACUGGAACUGAGACACGGUCCAGACUCCUACGGGAGGCAGCAGUGGGGAAUAUUGGACAAUGGGCGCACGCCUGAUCCAGCCAUUCCGCGUGGGUGAAGAAGGCCUUCGGGUUGUAAAGCCCUUUUGUUGGGAAAGAAAUCCAGCUGGCUAAUACCCGGUUGGGAUGACGGUACCCAAAGAAUAAGCACCGGCUAACUUCGUGCCAGCCGCCGCCGUAA